rnacentral:rRNA from 1 species
UACGUAGGGUGCGAGCGUUUAAUCGGAAUUACUGGGCGUAAAGCGCACGUAGGCGGUUCGUUAUGUCGGAUGUGAAAGCCCUUGGCUUAACCGAGGAAGUGCAUCCGAAACUGGCGAGCUAGAGUACUAAAGAGGAUCGCGGAAUUCCCGGUGUAGAGGUGAAAUUCGUAGAUAUCGGGAGGAACACCGGUGGCGAAGGCGGCGAUCUGGGUAGAGUACUGACGCUGAGGUGCGAAAGCGUGGGGAGCAAACAGGG